AGUGAACGCUGGCGGCAGGCCUAACACAUGCAAGUCGAGCGGCAGCGCGGGGGCAACCCUGGCGGCGAGCGGCGGUCGGGUGAGGAAUUCGUCGGAAUCUGCCUUUUUGUGGGGGAUAACGUAGGGAAACUUACGCUAAUACCGCAUACGUCCUACGGGAGAAAGUGGGGGACCGCAAGGCCUCACGCAGAAAGAUGAGCCGACGACCGAUUAGCUAGUUGGUGGGGUAAAGGCCCACCAAGGCGACGAUCGGUAGCUGGUCUGAGAGGAUGAUCAGCCACACUGGGACUGAGACACGGCCCAGACUCCUACGGGAGGCAGCAGUGGGGAAUAUUGGACAAUGGGCGCAAGCCUGAUCCAGCCAUGCCGCGUGUGUGAAGAAGGCCUUCGGGUUGUAAAGCACUUUUGUCCGGAAAGAAAUCCCUGGAGCUAAUACCUUCGGGGGAUGACGGUACCGGAAGAAUAAGCACCGGCUAACUUCGUG
rnacentral:rRNA from 1 species